GGUUACAAAUGGCCCCUCCCGCCCCGCUCGCCCGCUCGCUCGAGCUCGGCGCGGACCCGCCCGGGACCGCUCCUCGCAGCAGAUGCCUGGGUCCCACCGCCCUAACCGGCGCCCGCUAUCUGGCCACCUCGGAGGGCACGCUCAGACACCCGGAGGUCCGGCCACCUCAGUGGGUGCAUCGGGCACACUGUGAUCCGACCACAAGGCGAGGCGCGCUGGUCACUCGGGUGGGCGUGCUGGGCUUCUCUGCGGCGGAAGUCUGGACCACAGUGUGACUCCCCUUCUAGCUGUAGGUGUUCUGACCUCUGACUGCUGCCCUCCUGCCUGAGCGUAGUUCAAACUGAAGGGAAGAAAACAUAUGUGCUUGGUCUGCCAUCUUGAACCAGAAGUCUGAAAGAGGGUUCUAAACGCUGCUCACCAGAAUCUCUUAGAGGGAGGAUGACAGACCACCAAAGCAUCUGCACCAUAAACAUUUGCAUGAGACGCAAGGCAGAGGCUGCAGUUAUUUCUUCAAACAGAAAGUCUUACUUUCCACAUCUUGAUGGCGCGUCUUCAUUGUCGAUUUGACUGGAUUUAGAAUCGCCUGGGAUAUACAUUUCCGGGACAGUCUGUCUGCCAGAAUGUUUCCAGAGAGAUUCAACUGAGGAGAGAAGAACCACCCUGAAGGUGGGGAGUGUUAUCCCACAGGCUGGGGUCCCAGACUGAAUAAAAAGGGAGAAAAGAGAAAGCUUCAUUGAGCUGUGACUGGACACACAAGGUGCCCACUGCUGUGCCUUCCCAGACUGAAUGAACCAUCAGACCACAAUGAGCCUUUCCUUCCUCAAAUCGGUUUGUCAGACAUUUUGUCACAGCAAUAAAAAAUAAUAACCAGUUAUGAGUUCUUAAAAUCACUGGGUAGCAUAGAUUGGGGUACUAAUGGAGGGGACAGCUGAACCCAUCAAAGUUAAAUUAGAAACAGUCUUCUAAGUCAUUGAAACUGAUGCUUUUAUCACCGACCUGCGAUGCUUGACUAUGAAUUUAGCUGUGAGCCACUGUAUAUCCAGGGUCUCCAAAGGAGGCACGCCCUCACCACCACUUGACCUAAGGCGCUCACCUGGCAGUCGGCGAGCGACGCUGUCCACGGCUCUGGACCGAACCACUGUAUCCAGCCAGGUUACCGGGCUCUCCAAGGCUGACGUCUGCACGAUCCCCCACCCAUGCAAAGCUCUUGAUUCCUAACUGGCAAGGCUCCAUGCCAGCGUUGUGCUGAACAGUUCCUGUCCCCCGCCAAGGCAGACCUGAGGACAGAAGUCCUCCCUGGAGAGACUGUGACCCACAGAACCUCACUAAGGUCAACAAAAGAAGCAAGGCUAGAAGAUCAAACUUCCCACCUUCAUGGCCUUGUGAAGCUUCAAAGCGUGGAAAAAGAAAGUUCAAGGAGUUGGGCCCCUGAAUGACAUUUGGAUUUCACCACAGUAAAACACAGGGCGUAGCCAGGAAUUCCUCCGCAGACACCCAGGCUGUGUUUGUUUGUGGCCUCAUGAACUUCCCAAGCCAAAGGGAAGGAGGAAAGGAGGGACAGGAACCAGUAAAGUGUAGGUGUCCCUAUUCCCAGUGACAUCCGUAGCUUCCUCUGCCAUCCGCAACCACUACUGACUGCCUGCUGCAAACCUGGUCAGAAAAUGAGGCCCCCUUCACAGAUUGCCUUGUCCUUAGGGAAGUGUUCUCAUCCAGAGAGGGGCAGACCAAAGGAGCAUAAAAGAUCUUCCCUUCCCGGUGAGAGAGGAGCCCCUUUUGUUUUUACAACACUUGAAAGGCAAAAGUGAAAGCCUUGGGCUCUGAAGGAGAGCCUCUGGGGCAGGCUUCACAUGAACUGAUUGCCAACUGCCCGCCGCCAUUCGGCAGUCCUGGAUCCUCUGUGGGAGGUAUCCAGGGCCACCUCCCCAGCACACAUCCCUUGUAGCUGCGGCGGCGAGAUGGCCACAGUGUGGCCCCCUGGGAGAUGC